UUUAUCAGUUGGAUUGUUAUACUAAAGUUCCUCAAAAUGUUUGGAGGACCAUCAGGCCAUGACUCUACAUCUGCAAGUAGCUGGUCCAACUUUCCUUCUAUGUUAGCAGGUGAAGCUGUGUGGGAUCGUUCCCUGACCUUUGGUGGGGUCGUUUUUGCUCUCUCCUCGGCCUCUUCAAAGGUUUCAAAGGACAGGGCCAUUCUUUGGACUUGUCUUGAACUGUAAGACUGUCGAAGGCUAAGCAGGUGAAGGCUUCUUUUGAAGACCCGCUUCAGGGACAAGCACUAGAAUGUCACUUAGUGAUUUUUGAAAGUUUUCCUGGCAUUUUUCAUUGUAAGUGGCAUAUAUUGCUUCCCUAAUGCUUUUUAAUUUCCUUUUUGUGACCUUAGGUUCUCUCUGACAUUGUCUCUUGACAUUUGUGUUAAGUUCAGUCAGAGGUCCUUUCCUAGCCCCUCUGCAAAACUUACUUAUAGGGAAGGUAGAUUGUAAUUGAGAGUUGAAUAAAAGACAGGCCUGGCA